GCCUCACUAUUUCUGCAUAGUAAGCUUUCUCAACAACCGGAAACGUCGUUUGAAAAGUAAAAUACUUGUGCAAUAGAAGAUUUUUUGUAAAAUUUUUCUGUGGCUGAAAAUAAUAGAAUGACUGAUAUAUUUAAUUAAAAAAUCUCAAUGACUCUUGUAAACAAAUACGUUGAAGUACUACCGGCUGGUAAUAUUAAUUGCUCAUUCAAUUAUCUUCAACUAAAGAAAAAGUUUACAAAAAUAUCUAUCGCACACGCACUUUACUUUUGAAAUGAUGUUUCCGGUUAUUGAGACACCUUAGCGUACAUAGAUAAAAGGGGAUGAAGUUCAUUUUAGAUAACUAAUCGAAUAUUAAUCAAAUAUGUGCACUCAUAUAGAUAAGAGUUGAAAACUUCAGGUUGCACAGUGGUUUGAUGCGCUUUCAGAAUGCAAUUUCUAGUGAUACUGUUAGGACUUGUAUGUGCCUUGGCCCAUGGGGCACCAAACGUAGAAAAGGUGAAUUCACCCCGUCCAUCUUUCUCAAAAGAUAAAGAAUUCAUACCAUCUGGCAAUAGCAGGAUAACAAACAGUGACCAAUUCCCUUACCAGAUUUAUUUCUAUAAAGUGGGGUAACAAUCAAUCGCUCAUCCAUCUCUGAGGUGGUAGUCUCAUUUCAGAAUCGGUGGUACUCACGGCUGCCCAUUGUAUCUAUGACUACGGUACAAAUAUCAUUGCUGCUGACGUCCUUAAUCGGGGCGAAAAUACUUCAACUUCUCAAAGACGAAGUGUUGAAACCAUUGUAAUUCACGAAAACUGGCCUGGGUACUUAAUAAAUUACGAUCUUUAUCGAUGGUGCUUCGUACAAUUUCAGCUCCAUUUGACAUUGCCCUAAUAAAGUUAGUCUCACCCUUCAUCUUGACCUCCUCCGUUCGGGUUGUUGAACUUCCUGCCCAAGGUGUCAUUCCUUCUGGUCUGGCGUUACUGGGCAAACAGGAAGGGGAUCAGUUUUGUCGUAGAGAUUCUGGUAGCCUCUUGGUUCAAGGGUAUGUCCAAGUGGGUCUGGUUUCUUGGGGCAUCCCGCCAUGUAGCACCACUUACGCUCUAUCUGUCUACACAAGAAUUUCUAGCUAUUCUGACUGGAUUAACAACAGACUUGCAGAGUUAAGGUCUGCUCCUUCGACUGUCUAAAUACAUAAAUAUGUACCCAAAAUGAAAUACCGAAUAAAAUUACUUACAAAUAAG